rnacentral:rRNA from 1 species
GUGGGGAAUAUUGGGCAAUGGGCGAAAGCCUGACCCAGCAACGCCGCGUGAAGGAAGAAGGUUUUCGGAUCGUAAACUUCUAUCCUUGGUGAAGAUAAUGACGGUAGCCAAGAAGGAAGCCCCGGCUAACUACGUGCCAGCAGCCGCGGUAAUACGUAGGGGGCAAGCGUUGUCCGGAAUGAUUGGGCGUAAAGGGCGCGUAGGCGGCCAGGUAAGGCUGAAGUGAAAGUCCUGCUUUUAAGGUGGGAAUUGCUUUGGAUACUGUCGGGCUUGAGUGCAGGAGAGGUAAGCGGAAUUCCCGGUGUAGCGGUGAAAUGCGUAGAGAUCGGGAGGAACACCAGUGGCGAAGGCGGCUUACUGGACUGUAACUGACGCUGAGGCGCGAAAGUGUGGGGAGCAAACAGGAUUAGAAACCCCGGUAGUCC